rnacentral:rRNA from 1 species
GUGCAGCAGUCGCGAAACCUCCGCAAUACGCGAAAGCGUGACGGGGUCAUCCCGAGUGCCGUCCGCUGAGGAUGGCUUUUCCCCAGUGUAGACAGCUGGGGGGAAUAAGGAGAGGGCAAGUCGGGUGUCACCCGCCGCGGAAAUACCCGCUCUCUGGGUGGUGGGGACGCUUAUUGGGCCUAAAGCAUCCGUAGCUGGCUGGGCAAGUCCCCUGUUAAAUCCAACGAUUCAAUCGUUGGACUGCGGGGGAUACUGUCCGGCUAGGGGGCGGGAGAGGCCGACGGUAUUUCCGGGGUAGGGGUGAAAUCCUAUAAUCCCGGGAGGACCACCAGUGGCGAAGGCUGUCGGCUAGAACGCGCCCGACGGUGAGGGAUGAAAGCUGGGGGAGCGAACCGGAUUAGAUACCCCCGUAGUCC